rnacentral:rRNA from 1 species
AUUGAACGCUGGCGGAAUGCUUUACACAUGCAAGUCGAGCGGCAGCGCGGGGCAACCUGGCGGCGAGCGGCGAACGGGUGAGUAAUGCAUCGGAACGUACCCCGUCGUGGGGAAUAACUACCCGAAAGGGUAGCUAAUACCGCAUACGACCUGAGGGUGAAAGCGGGGGACCGAAAGGCCUCGCGCGAUGGGAGCGGCCGAUGCCGGAUUAGCUAGUUGGUAGGGUAAAGGCCUACCAAGGCGACGAUCCGUAGCUGGUCUGAGAGGACGACCAGCCACACUGGAACUGAGACACGGUCCAGACUCCUACGGGAGGCAGCAGUGGGGAAUUUUGGACAAUGGGCGAAAGCCUGAUCCGGCCAUUCCGCGUGAGUGAAGAAGGCCUCGG